AUUAGUGAAAGAGAAAAAGAAAAAUAGCCAAGUCAACCUAAAUCUAACCCAAGAGCCCAAAUUGGUCAACAAUCUCAACCUAAAGGUUGAUUCAACCAUGUAAAUGAAAUUGACAUCUUAAGGUCUGAGAAAUGAGUAGACAAUCAGGUAAGUAUAACUGAGAACCAAGAAAACCAACCGACUAAACCACAGACUGAUCAGACCAAGUCUGAUGAGCUUGAAUCAACA
rnacentral:lncRNA from 1 species